CUUCAAAGAUAAUGUAAAGUUUUCUCUGUAAGAUUGUCAGUUUAAGGACCAUAAAUGGCCCGGUUUGUGAAGCAAAACACAUAUUUGAGGACUGAUUUGAUGACCCAACACCCCGCAAAAUGUUUUGGACUAGCCCGUACUAUUUCGUAAUAUUUCGUGAUAUUUCGGGUGAUGUCGGCGCCCGUUUCAACCAUGACGGGAGCCCCCGUAUCCGCAGACGAUGGACAUUUCGUAACUUUUGAUAUUUCGUGGUUAAUUUUUGUCCUCAAAGACAGCUUUUGAUGAGUAAGUAAGAGAAAGGUUGAAUUCGGGGAUUUACUAUGUCCCCACUCCAUGACUUUGUUUUUCAUGAAUUUGUCCGAGGAAUUCGUGAAUUGAUUGAGUAAACAGUGCAGAAAUCGACAGCAGAAUGGCCUUUGACUUGCUUUCCAAAGUCAAGAUGAAUAUCUUUGUAUAAUGACAAGUACUGAGCACCACCAUCCCAAUUUCCAUGCAAGAACCACUUCAGUAAGAGAGCAUAUCAACAUCAAGAACGCUUAGCCAGAGAUGCUUCUCCUUGUGUAGUGAAGAGUGCUGAGCUAUGGAUUCACUUCACCUCACCGCCAUCCCCAAUUUCUUGGAGGGGUUUAACCGUUAAUUCAUAUUGUGAACUUAUUUGAGGAUCAUGAUAGAAGCCUGGUUCCCUACAUGCAAGAGCAUGGUAAAAAACAAGGACUUGGGCUGGAAUAGUGGCCCGAGAUGGAGAGAGCGGACAACUGUCUGCAAAGUGAAGAUGUUCUCGGGUACAUGCCUAUUUCAAGAUCAGGGGCAUGGAUGUCACCGAGGUUGUCCAAGAGAGACCCGGCACCAUGUUACUGCUUGAAAAGACGACGCGGUUUGGUUACAUGGCUAAGUAUCCACUGACAAACUGUCAAAAAGGGAUGGCAACUUGUGUGCCUCCCAGCACCCCUGUAAAUAUACAACUUGAAAUGAUUCCUUGCCUAUGAUAUAAGGCAAAGAGAGAGCUGCUGAAACAGAUGCCAGUCAUUGGACUUGUGACAGUGAUGGCUUGCCUGCACAGGAACAAUUAUUUGCGACUGGCCACUUUAUGGACAACCGAAAGUUGACACCAUAUUGCAUUUACAGGCAUUGACAACAUCACAAUAGGCCACUGAGGGCGAGGACGAGUCUGUGACAGGAUGCCUUGCCACAUAUCUACAUGGUAGCUGCCUGGCUUAGGCAACCGUGCUAUGAUGAGAAGAGCCACUGGAUGAAAGGAUGAAUGCGACCAAGAUGUCAAAGUUGGAGAAAAGCUUAUGACUGUGUAAUGGCUUACUGAUUUAUGAUAGGUCUAUUUCUGUUCCAGCAUGGUUUCAAGAUCUGAGGACAGGGACAAAACAAGAGAGGCCCGGUGAAACCAUGGCUUAGCAAUGAUGCACUUCGAACCUCACAUUCGGAACACCUGCUGUAAACAAGACCUAGCCUACAUUGUUUCCAGAAAGAUGAGAUGGAGAGAUGCAACAACAUAUAUUGAGAAACAUAGGUCCGUUACAUCAAGGUCUAUGCAUAAUCCAUGUGCAUAACAACACAGAUCUUGAUCAAAGAGGGAAUCAGUAAACUUUUGACGGCGCUAAUAUUUCUGCUUUGGUUUAAGCAUUACAUCCUCAGAUGAUACAGAACAUGCAGGACAUGGAGAAUAUCACAAGAACUGUGUGGCACCAAAAAUAUCUGAAGAUUGACUUCUUCCGCUAAGAAUGACUUUGUAGGCCAAAAGGUUUAGAAGUUAUACCUAAAUUCCUAUGGUCUAUGACUAUGACUUACUCUCAAGGUAUAGCCUGGAAAACAUUUCAUCCUGGAUGCAGAGAAAAACUGUAGUUAGAUUACUUGUUAGUUAGUUUUGAGUGUUAGUUUUCACUGUUGAAGAAUACAGACACAGUGCGAAUCAGCAGUGAAGGUUCUUCUCAAGCGAGGAACCAAUGUCUUGGUAUUGCAGCCAUUGUAAGUUAGGUAGUCUAGUGAACUACAUGUAGUUGUUUUCAGUUAUUAAGAUCCAUGGGGUAAGUCGCAUUUAACCUUGAGACUGUUGGACUGGGUCCACUGAAUGUGAUAAAAUAAUCACAGUUGAAUGUCUAGUUCAGGCAAUUAUUUUGGAAUUCGGUGAGGGGUGAAAACUACAUGUAUAUUUUUUUUUUUAAAUACUGAAAAUCAGGUGUUUUACCUAAAUUGGAAUGCUAUGAAGCAUAGAAAAGGACUCGGAAAGACCUUUCACGAGAUGUAUAAUGCAAGUAGCUUUGAUGAUUGGAUUUAUUUAUUUUUUUUAAUUUGAAAAUAGUGUUUUUCAAGAAAAAUCGCACGUUCCUGGUAUUGAGGCAGAAAAAAAUGACGCGAUCUCAAAGAGUUAAAAUCCAUGGGGUUGGUCACAUUAACCUCGAAUCUAUUGGACUGGGUCCACUGAACUUGAUAAAAUAAUCGACACUGAUUUACAAAUGAAAUGAAAUGAAGAGUCGGCGUUUUGGUUUACGAAGGUUUUGAUGCCUUGCUGGCAUAUCUGCAUACCAGUAAAUAUGUGCAGAUUCAUUUCUUGCUUUGAAGCAAUGUUGUUGCUACACUCCUAUAGCAGUGGCAAUGUUCAGGUCUUUUCUGCCUCGCGGGCAAAUCUGCAUACCAGUAAUUAUGUGCAGACUUGGCUCUUCCUGAAAUUAUAGGACUGGGUCCAUUGAAUGAAACAAAAAUAAUCGAUACCUAUUUACAAAUGAAAUGAAGAGUCUGCAUUUUGGUGCAACUCCAUAAAACUGGCAGGUGAUUUCGCUCUGAACUUGUGACACUCUGAUCGGUCUGAAAUAAUCAUUAUCCCGCCCCUCUGGGAAAAAUUUGCAGCCAGAUUGCGCCAUUUCCUGUUACCGUCUGAGAGAUGGCGAUGUCCGGGGCGCAUGACGGUGGUUAAACCUAUUGCGAAUGGGCAGCACAAUUGGGUGUAGGAUAUUCGGAAACCAUUGCACACUCCUGAAUCUGCGGUGGGUUGGUACCCCACGCUACGUAAGGAGUAGGUUGACGGGUAAGCCUUGGUCCACGUGAAUGGGUCGUGCCUUAAAAAUGAUGAGAAGUUGCGAAUUGACGCCCUGUGAAGUGUCCUUCGACCAGCUAGUGCUAAUCCGGUCACUGUCUCCAGGUCACCAUGCCUCGGUCAAUGAGCGGGCGAAGCACCCAAUGGCUCCGUCAGGAGUACAUCGUCAACUUCAGCCCGUAGUCAAACCGGUACACGCACAAAUAUCUUAGUUGAGAGUGGGGGACAUCAGUAAAGUGCUUCUCAUCGGGGUAAUACAGUACCACUGUAUACAAUGACCCCAUUUUUUGUUGGAUUCAUUUCCACUGAGGAGUGGUCGACAAUGAGAAUUUCAGGCCAGUCUGAUUAUCACCAGUGCAGAGGGCAAUUAUCUAAUAGUUAUGUGGCUUUCCCUCAAACUAUAUACUCUUUCAUGUCAAUUGUAAAUUAGUGUUGCUUGGUAGUGUUCAGGGUCUUUUUGUCGAACAGGCACAUCUGCAUACCAGUAAUUAUGUGCAAACAUCAUUUUUGCUUUGAAGCAAUAUCGUUGCUACACUUGUGAAGCAGUGGCAGUGUUCAGGUCUUGUCUGCCUCGCUGACAUAUCUGCAUACCAGUAGUUAUGUGCAGACUUGGCUCUUUCUUUGGAGCAGUACAGUUGUAAGAUAAAUCCUGUUUGUAAUUUUAUAAAUUAGUUGCUCAUUAAGGGCUUACAAAGGUUUUGAUGCCUUGCUGGCAUAUCUGCAUACCAGUAAAUAUGUGCAGAUUCAUUUCUUGCUUUGAAGCAAUAUUGUUGCUACACUCCUUAAGCGGUGGCAAUGUUCAGGUCUUUUCUGCCUCGAGGGCAAAUCUGCAUACCAGUAAUUAUGUGCAGACUUGGCUCUUCCUGAGAUUGAGAUUGUAGGGCUGGGUCCAUUGAAUGUAACAAAAAUAAUCGAUGCCUAUUUACAAAUGAAAUGAAGAGUCUGCAUUUUGGUGCAACUCCAUAUAACUGUUUUCAGAGAAUUUCAGGCCAGUCUGAUUAUCACCAGUACAGAGGGCAAUUAUCUAAUAGUUAUGUGGCUUUCCCUCAAACUGUAUACUCUUUCAUGUCAAUUGUAAACUAGAAUUGUCAGUUGAGUCUGCAGGCAUACUCUGAAGUCUCCGCCACGGCGUUCUGAAUGCGCAUGUGCAGUCAGUGCGAACAUCGUCUUGGUUCCCUCGGCUGUUCCUAGGAGGCGUGCUAUUCCUGCCCUCUAGGAACAGCCGAGGGAACCAAGACGUGCGAGUAACGUUCCGAGUGCUCAUUGCCGCAAAAACAAUCUACGAAACUACAAUGUAUUCCGUGCUCAAAGUGCUCGAAUAACGACGUACUGCCGACGUGGACUUGGAAUAAUAAAUGAACUCGCCGUACGUAAGAGCAGAAUAUUUUAUCAAUGUGCGGUUUUCUCGAAACUUCGUGUCAAAUCUUGACAAAAUUGCGACAAUUGAAAUCCACCCACAAGCACUACAACGUGUACACACGCAUAGGCACAUCGGCGCCCUAGGCCGAGGUUGAUUUUGCCGAGAAAGUUUCCUAGCUAACCCAAGAGUCUCCUCUCACGGCCACUACGUGCCGUGGCGGAGACUAAUUAGUGUUGCUUGGUAGUGUUCAGGGUCUUUUUGUCGAACAGGCACAUCUGCAUACCAGUAAUUAUGUGCAAACAUCAUUUUUGCUUUGAAGCAAUAUCGUUGCUCCUUGAUCGUUGCUACACUUGUGAAGCAGUGGCAGUGUUCAGGUCUUGUCUGCCUUGUCUGAUUGUCACUAGUCCAGAGGGAAAAUACCUGAUGGUUAUGUGGCUUUCCCUCAAACUGUAUACUCUUUCGUGUCAUUCAUAAAUUAGUAUUGCUCGUUUUACCUCGCAUCUCAUGGGCAGAAAGAACAGUUGGGUAGAGUCCUGAUGCUCCCUGUUGUUGGUCUUUGACUAAAGAUCAUAAUCACUCGGGGUAGUUCUGUGAUUCCUUUUACCACGAGCAGGCCCCUUUAGGCCUACAACAUGUCAUUGUUGUAAAUUUCAAUUAAGAAUAAAGUAUGCAGGUGUCAUUUUGUUUGCUUUAGUGUUUAUGGCGUUGUAUUGUUAGAUUAGAGCUGCAGAAUAAACUUAAGUAAAUAAACAGAAUAUUUGUUU